AUGUUGUCAGCUAGGGAGCAACAUCGCGCGUGCAAUCUGUCCAUAUCCCCGGGAAAAAGGCUCGAGACGCGGCAGCACGCGCACAAGCUCGCUGUAAACGCCUCUCUCUCUCUCUCUCUCGCGCUCUCUCUCCCUCUCCGCUCCACGACUCGUGUCUUCUCAUCUUCCGCGAUCCUCCAAACGGCCCAGCUUCUCUCUGUUUACCCUGCCAGCCAAAUGGAGUUUGUCAGGUCCCAGUUUCUGUUGCUAUGAUGACACCACAGGUCAUAACUCCUCAGCAGAUGCAGCAAAUCCUCCAACACCAGGUUCUGAGCCCACAGCAGCUCCAGCUGUUACUGCAGCAACAACAAGCACUGAUGUUACAGCAGGUACGCACUCUCGUUCUGUUUCAGAGCAUAUACAUUUCUUCUGUUUAAAUGUCUUUUCUUCUGUUCGGAUAUUACUCAGGCUUUGGCAAACAAACAACAAGCCAUUGAGGGUCUGUGUGUCAUAAUGGGCACAAUGUGAAGUGGAGUUCAACAAAUAAAUUAGUAAAAAAAUAAUAAUAAUAAUAAUAAUUAAUUAAUAGUCUGAAUAAAUAAUUUGGAAUAGAUUACGAUAUCAUAUGUUAUAGUCAUAAUGUAAUUUAUAAUCUUAUAAAUUAGCAACAACAGUAAUACUAUGAAAAUGUUGCUGUUAUUAAUAACAUUAAUUAUUUAUUAGAUAAUUUAGAUAAUUAUCAUAAUAUAAUUUUUAUAAUUAUUGUUAUUGUUACUCCCCUCGAGUUGAAUCAAAGGCUCAGGUCGUUCUUGGUUUUAACAGACAUUUAUUUGGACACGAGUCUUCAACAUGUCUUGUACAUGCUAGUCUUUUAGCCUUUUUUUAUGCCCCAACAAUGCCGUCAGAACUAUGAAAGAAAAUACAUAAAACUUAAAUUAACCCUCUAAAAGUGGUGUUUUACACAUAAUAAUAAACGAAAAAUACAUACAAAACGAAUAAAUAAAGUGCACAUUCAACACGUAAGAAAAUACACUUAAUUGGCUAAUUAUACAUUUACACACGGUCACGUAACUUACAUGUUCACAUACGGAAGGCAAUUAAUACGAUAAAACACGUACCUCAUUGGCCUCUCUACCUCAGAGGAAUAAACUUGAGGAUUACAGCUUCUUCCAUUUAAACAUAAAGACAAUAUCUUCUUAGCGGCUUAACUCUUACAGACAUGUUACUACUGCAGCACCUCGUGUGACUCUUCUACUUUUAGUGCACCGGAAACUAUCCUGAUAGCAACAAUUAAAUAAUUCCCCACUUUUUCUAAGGUUUUAGCUGAAUAAUAUGAAAUUAAUUGACAUGUAUUAACAAAAAAUAUAUGACUUAUUUAUUCUAAUGAUUAUUCUGAACAUUUUAACUAUUAAUUUACCUUUUAACUGUAAAGUGCAUAUUAUGAAUGAAAUAUAUAAGGAUUUGCUCUGAUGGCAGCUACAAAGACAUUUCAUCCCAGAUUUGAAACACUUUACCCUGACUUCAAAAUGUUAAACAAGAAAACACAACUUCAAUAUUUAUUAGGUGAAAAACAAGACUGUAUCUUACUAGCAGCAAGAUACACUGAUGCCUGUCACAAAAAGAGGGAGGAGUCAACAAAUCAGUGAUGUGCACACACACACACACACACACACACCACGAACGCAGUCAACAAAUACAGUGAUGUGCACACACACACACACACACACACACCACAAACGCACAAACACACACACACACCACACUGAAUUAUAAAUUGUUCGUAGAAUUUUAAAAUGUUAUUUGUUCUACUUUUUAAAUGUAUAUAAAUGCAUGUUUUUGUUGGAUAUAUAUCUGUUCUAAAUUUAAUGUAAAACCUAUGCUUUGGCAAUACAUUGUAACAAUUGUCAUGCAAAUAAAGCACAUAUUGAAUUGAACUGAAUUGAAUUGAAUUGAGAGAGAGAGAGAGAGAGAGAGAGAGAGAGAGAGAGUGUGUGUGUGUGUGUGUACUCCCCUCGAGUUGAAUCAAAGGCUCAGGUCGUUCUUGGUUUUAACAGACAUUUAUUUGGACACGAGUCUUCAACAUGUCUUGUACAUGCUAGUCUUUUAGCCUUUUUUUAUGCCCCAACAAUGCCGUCAGAACUAUGAAAGAAAAUACAUAAAACUUAAAUUAACCCUCUAAAAGUGGUGUUUUACACAUAAUAAUAAACGAAAAAUACAUACAAAACGAAUAAAUAAAGUGCACAUUCAACACGUAAGAAAAUACACUUAAUUGGCUAAUUAUACAUUUACACACGGUCACGUAACUUACAUGUUCACAUACGGAAGGCAAUUAAUACGAUAAAACACGUACCUCAUUGGCCUCUCUACCUCAAGAGGAAUAAACUUGGAGGAUUACAGCUUCUUCCAUUUAAACAUAAAGACAAUAUCUUCUUAGCACUUCUUACGGCUUAACUCUUACAGACAUGUUACUACUGCAGCACCUCGUGUGACUCUUCUACUUUUAGUGCACCGGAAACUAUCCUGAUAGCAACAAUUAAAUAAUUCCCCACUUUUUCUAAGGUUUUAGCUGAAUAAUAUGAAAUUAAUUGACAUGUAUUAACAAAAAAUAUAUGACUUAUUUAUUCUAAUGAUUAUUCUGAACAUUUUAACUAUUAAUUUACCUUUUAACUGUAAAGUGCAUAUUAUGAAUGAAAUAUAUAAGGAUUUGCUCUGAUGGCAGCUACACUCCCACCAAAUCACUUGUGAUUUCCAAAAUGAACUGUACUAAUCUGCUUCCAGCAAUGUGACAGUCUUGUGGAUUGGUCUUACUAGAUGAACUGGUUUACUCAGUCUCUUCCCAUGGUCAUCUAAUGUUGAGUCGCUGAUUAGCAGCUGUACUUUUCGUACGCAUCCAUCUUGACUUGGGCGGCAGUAACUUUAGCCAGCUUCCAAUCGUUUCUGGGUGUUGUAUCAUCUUGUAUGAUCACUAUGUCAUUGACCUUUGCAUUUCGGUUUGUCUUGUGCCACUUUUGUCUUUGUUGUAGGCUCAACAGAUAUUCUUUCUUCCACCUUUGCCAAAAUUCGUUGGCUAGGUACUGCACUCUACGCCAUCUUCUACGGAGGUAAAGGUCUUCCUUUACAAAAUCUCCUGGUGGAGGCAGUAUUAUUGACGAUUUCAUUGUCAAAAGAAGGUUGGGUGUAAGUGGCUGAGGUCCAGUAGGAUCAUUGAGUAGGUGUGCUGUUAUAGGUCGGCUGUUUACGAUUGCCAUCACUUCAUAUAGGUAGGUUCUUAAGGAUGAACUGUCAAGUGUUCGGGAUGACUGAUCCAGGAUGGAUGUUAACACACUUCUGAUCGUUCGGAUUUGUCUUUCCCAGGCUCCACCCAUAUGGCUGGCAGAGGGUGGGUUCAUGACAAACUCGCAGCCUAGUUGUUUUAGGCAUUCUUGGUCCAUUCUUUUACUGCUUCCAGAACUCACGUCUUGCUCCACCAAAUUGGUGCCUUGGUCUGAUUGCAGUUGACGGACAUUUCCGCGUAGAGCAAUGAAAGCACGAAGUGAGUUGAGGAACGCAUCAGUUGAUAAAUUAUCAAGCAACUCUAUAUGUACUGCACGAGAGCACAAAUAUGUGAACAGCAGUCCAUAGCGUUUUAGUUCUUUUUCUUCCCUCCUUUUAAUAUAGAACGGGCCGAAACAAUCCAUCCCACAGUAUGUAAAUGGAGGAGCUGUCUCCAUUCUUUCGCUAGGCAGGUUUGCCAUCUUUUGUUCUUCUGUUCGACGUCUGAAUUUCCUGCAUUUGACACAGUUGUAGAUAAACGAUGAUACUGCUUGACUACAGCCGAGAAUCCAUAUGCCAUUAGAUCUCAGUUCGUUUAUGGUCAUGCCACGCCCUUGAUGUCUCACUUGCUGAUGAUAGUGAUCAAUCAGUAACUUGGUGAUGUGGCUGGUCUUUGGUAAGAUAACUGGAUGCUUGAUGUGUGGAUGUAAAGAUGCAUGCUCUAAUCUACCUCCUACUCUGAGGAUGCCCUUGUGGUCCAGGAAGGGAUUGAGUCGAUACAAUCUGCUUGCUUUGUCUUUAGUAGUUAACUCCUUUUGGGACUGAAGUUCUUUGAUUUCUUUGA
rnacentral:lncRNA from 1 species